GAUACCCGAAUGGGGAAACCCAGUGUGAUUCGUCACACUAUCAUUAACUGAAUCCAUAGGUUAAUGAGGCGAACCGGGGGAACUGAAACAUCUAAGUACCCCGAGGAAAAGAAAUCAACCGAGAUUCCCCCAGUAGCGGCGAGCGAACGGGGAGGAGCCCAGAGCCUGAAUCAGCAUGUGUGUUAGUGGAAGCGUCUGGAAAGGCGCGCGAUACAGGGUGACAGCCCCGUACACAAAAGCGCAUGUGCUGUGAGCUCGAUGAGUAGGGCGGGACACGUGGUAUCCUGUCUGAAUAUGGGGGGACCAUCCUCCAAGGCUAAAUACUCCUGACUGACCGAUAGUGAACCAGUACCGUGAGGGAAAGGCGAAAAGAACCCCGGCGAGGGGAGUGAAAAAGAACCUGAAACCGUGUACGUACAAGCAGUGGGAGCACAGGUUUACCUGUGUGACUGCGUACCUUUUGUAUAAUGGGUCAGCGACUUAU
rnacentral:rRNA from 1 species